rnacentral:lncRNA from 1 species
ACAGAGUGAACUGUGUGACUGGACUUACUAGUAAUUCUACCUUAAUAAGGUCACAGGAUACAGGAUAACCUGGAAACCAAACCAUCGAUUCAGCCAAUCACAGGCUAACAAUGGAUCACAUGGUGCCUGCGUGCCCUGCAGCCUGUAGCCAAUCAGGCUGUUUUCGACGGUUUGCCCCGCUUUGGCUGUUUAACGGCUGCAUGUGCAGUGAUGCUAGAGUAGAACAGGUCUGGACCUUGUUAAUGUAACUGCUGCCAGCUUUCCUGUAAGGAUCCCCAUCCAGGGACAGCUGGAGCUGGGCUGUGAGGACCAGAAAGUGGAGAAGGUUGCUAGGGGAACGCUAGAGCAAGACUUGGAAGGGGCUGGAAAGCUGAAGGAAAACUCAAGCUCUACAUCGCCCCCCUGUGGGAUCUAGGAAAAGUGCAGGCCUCCGGUUUCUUUACUCAUCUCAAGGUGGUGAGAGGCCUUGCCUGGAAGAAGAGCAGGUUACACCAAGAUGGGGAAUGGAGUAGUGUGCAGCUGCCACCAGCCAGGCGGAGACUUUAGGAUUCACUUCUGGACAGGGACAGGGAAAACAUUUUCCUUUCAAUGCCUCGAGGCCCUUCAGCAACUGUAGGAGCGGGCGUGGUGUCGUCGCUACUGUCAAAUCCUGGACCCGGCAGCCGACUUUUUCCUGACUUGGACAUCAGCAGGAUUAACACCCAUUCCCCGUUUUGUAGCGGAAGCAAGGGAAGUUUCAAGACACACAGUAAAGUUUGCUUCAGUCCAGGGAUCACAGUGCACAAAACCAGAGCAUACUUCUCUCUGAGCUCUCCGUGAUGUUGAAAAAGGUAUGGGCUGUCACAGUGGAAGGAGCAUGUCUGUUUGGGACUGUGAGUCACAUAGAAGCCACUCUGGAAGAGGUAUUGGGUCUUUGAGGUUGUGUCUCUGUUGGUGGUGUCUGUCAGAGGUGUGGAGAGGGGGUCUCUGUGAGAUCUUUGUGGAGUCCGAGCCCGUGUGCCAUCGCUGAGUGUGGCGGCUUUUACUGCAGAGUGUCUGUCUCCAUGUUGAUCCGAAGUCUCCGUGUUCUCACUGUGAGUGCUGCGCUCGCUGUGCGUCAAGUGGGUCAUUUCUGUGCAGGUCCGUAGCCAGGUCCAGAGGGCCUGAUGAGAGUGACUGUAAAAGGCCCCGUGGGAGGACUAGGGGUUCCUUGUAGAGGGGUUUGUGAAGGUCUAUGGAAGGGAGGGUCUGGGGAGAUUUUUGACACACUCUCUCUCUCUGAGUGUUCUUAAAUGUCCUUGUGGGAGGGUCUAGGGGCAAAUCCCCGAGUCUCUGUGUGGAGAAUCUAAGGGUCUUGGAGGGGAGGGUGGUGUCUGAGGGGAACCUUGGGUGUUUUUCUUGUGGGGCUCUAUCAUAGGAGUCUUUAAAGAUGACUGUGGAAAGGCUGGGGAGAUGGCACAUCAAUUAAGAGCAUGCGUUUUAGACCUGGGUUUGGUUCCCAGUGCUCUGAUCAAGUGAUCCACAACUGCCUGUAAUUCCAGUUCCAGGGAUGGGAAACCUCCACGGGCACUGCAGAUGUGUGUGCACAUAUAGACAGUCAUGCAUGCACACGUAUACACACACACACACACACACACACACACACACACACACACACACACACACACGUGUGUGUGUGUGCACACGUGCACUCACGCGUUAGGAAAAAGGAGAGUGGUGUUCUCAUAGUGGGAGUCUCUGUGGAGGACUUGGGGUAAAUGGCUGCUCCCCUGUUUUGAUGCAUCUUCAUGCCUAUGUGGAUGGACCCUGGGACCUGAAGCUUGUAUGGGAGCUAAGUGCUGCCCAGCCAAGACCCUUCCAGGCCUGCUCAGUGACCAGGUAAUUCCUGCACUUUGAAAAAGCCCCUUCCUUUCUGUGAGCCAGUCCUGUAGGAUAGCCUUAGCCUGGUCUCCGGCUGGUCUCAUGGGACAGCAAGUGCUGGAAUCCGGGAAGGACUUACUGUAUGAUCCCAGGUCAUGCUCUUGAUAACAUUAGGUACCUUCCUCUGCCCUGAUCACCAGGGCCUGGCUUUCCCAUCAGUGACUCCUCCUUUUUGGAGUUAAAAGGGAGAGAACAUGCAGGGUAGUCAGCUCUACUUAUCCCAGUUGCUCACAUUUUAGCAUCUUCUGUCAAGAUUAACAUCACAACAUUCUUUACAAAAGAAAAAAAAAGAAAUGGUUAUGGAAUUUUACCAUUGUAGACCUUUUAAACAUUAAUAAGAGAAUUGAAGAAGGUGAGGUAACUCGUGGCUCUGCUUGCUUUAAGAAGUCUGUGGUACGCUGAAGAGUCUGUUUCUCCAGAUGUGUGGUUUAGUCCAGGAGCAAAGGUCCCUGGAAUGGUGCUCAGAGCCAGAGGUUUCAUCACUAGAGUCAGUGCUGUGUUCUGUGAGGGCAGAGGCUUUGUGUCUGUGGCAACCACAACUGCACACACAGGCCUGAGAAGAUGGAAAGGCAGGAGAGCCCUGGCCAGGGUGAUACACCCCUCAAAUGCCAUCCUACAGCCACCAUGCCUGCACACCACAGGGAUGCAGGUUCAGUGUGGCACCUCCAAGGGUGCGGGGAGGAGAAAAAGACAGGGGAAGACGACACUACUUUGUCACCCAUGCUGAGCUGAGGGGCUACAGAGCUCAGCUCCCACAGGCUUCAUCAUGGAGAACUGGCUUCUGUCCUGGGGAUUUCAUUUCUCUCCAGGAAGCCCAGGGCAGAGGAGACUAGCACAGCCCCAGCAUUCCUGAGCACUCCUUGUGAUGGGAGCUUCUUCAAGGAUGACCAAAUGCUUACCCCGCCUUGUGCCCAGCUCAGUGCAGACAGAAGUCACUACACUGAACGAGAACUACAACCAGGAAGCAGUCUCCACCCUGAGAAGCAGCCAUUAGUACACAGAGGGGACAGGAGAACAGGAGAUGGACGGAACCUACCUUCAUUGGCGGGACUGUCAUCCCUUCUUUGCUAUCUGCUUGCAAGACUCAAAGAUGUCGGGCUAAUGGGAUAAGGGUGCCAACCCGAUUAUCAAUGACUAGUGCUCUCAUUUUAUAGACUAUGCUGUUAGUCCUGGGAACACAAUGUAGUAUGGCACUUGUCUGCUUUAUAACCCCCAAGCAGCAGGAAUUAUACCCUUUUGGCCAGUUGGACUGAAGCCCUUAGAGAAACAUAGCCAUUGAACCCCACAUGCCUUAUGUACACUAUGGGGCUCUGGCAGUUUCCCCAGAGACUGACCCUGUCUGAGCUGCACCCAGGUGGCCAGAGCUGAUGAUGGAUGAGAUAGCACUGCUGUAGUGUCCAGAACGCCUCAGGUCCCAGGGAGUGGGCAGCCCAGUGAGAGUCAAGUGGCUUGUCCACCAGGAGAUGGGUCACCUAGCUCCUGUCACAAUGUGGGCAGUCUCUGGCCUUCCUAACACAGUACAUGUGAUCCUCUUGCGUCUGUUUUGUUACUGGUUGUAUCCUGAAUGGGCUAAAGAAAAUUCCCCAUGUCACAGUGGCCUCCUGGUCCUGUGCACCACUUUGCUGUCAGUUGCAGGAACGAUGCAUGGGCUCCCUCAUGUUAGCAAGUGUGUGGUGUGCUCCACACUUACACUCCAGUAGCUUCCACCAUGGUGUCUGUGGGAAGGUGCCAGGGGUGCUGUUUUUACGUGGUACCGAUUGACUGUGACAAUUACCUUGUAAUCACUUAUUUUCAACUCCAUUUCUGGUCGCCUCUACCUCUAUAUUGUGUGUAGGAAGUGCUGUCAUCAGAACAAAAUGCACCCUCAUCUCUGAUGUCACAAACCACAUCACACUAAGCUCAAAUUAAUGCCUUGACUACUGUGUCUCUGCACGGAUGAUGCUGAAUCGCUGGCUUCGUUCCUUAGUCUCCACAUGUAAAACAGUUGGCUGUUGCUCGUGUUGCACAAGUAUUUUAUGCCUUAGCAACACUCGCCUCCCUGUGGCUGUGGAUUCUGUUUACAAGGUGCACAAGUCACUUCCUGGAUGCUGUCUACAGCCCCUUGCAAGCUCAGUGAACACUGCAGAAGAACAGGUGUGAGAUUGUAAGAGCCUAUCAGGAAGAGUACAUAAUAAGUAGAUUUCCAGUUACCAUGACUGUAGCUGACUUGAGGUCAGACUGCUAGGAGUAUUACAGAAUAAACCUAGCUACAUUUUCCCACUUAUUCUCUCAAAUACUACAAAUAAGACAAUCCAUAGAGAGCUGUGGGGAACUCUAUAAUAAACCCUUGCUCCAGGAGUGAGACUCAUUGGUGUCAAGGUAACCAUACCCCAGGGAGGAUGGAGACCCUUAUGUCCUCACCUACGUAGACCUCUGUGACCCAGACUUUGGCAGCUCACUGCUGCUGACACCCAGGCCCAUGCUUCUGUAAGUCCCCCCAAUAAACUGUGCCUGUGUAAUCAAGUUCUGUUACCUGUUAGUCUUUCACCUGUGGCCUCUUGUUCCUGCUGCGUAGGCAUUGGUUAUUCUAUAACGAAUUCCCAGGAGAGAAACUAGAAGUCUCACUAGGAGGGCUAGAAGUCUCACUAGGAGGGCUAGAAGUGUCCCAUUUUUUGGCUAGACUAAGUUCUUGUCUUAAACAUUUAUAGACUUGGUAUUCAACAGCACAUUCUAAGAAACAUAACUUAUUUUUCAGGUUAGACUCUGUGGAAUUUGUCCCAUGUGUGUCCUUGGAUAUGUUUUGCUUUGGUUCUGGGUUCUGAGCACUGCAACUUGGUUUCGAUCCGUGUCAAAGGUUAGACACCACAUCUAGGCUUGCAGAUCACCCUUCCCAUAGACAGCAUUUGGUUUCCUCUUGGAUUACACUGUUCUUGUUAUGUAUUCUAUUCCAGACCUUCUUCUCGCUCAAAAUUGACUUAAUAUGAGUCUUUCCCAUGUGGCGAGCCCACAACUGUUGAGGUUUGCUCUGUUCUGUGUACUAAAUAUUGGCCCCCAAGAUCUGGUUGUCUCAGGGACCAGGAAAUCCUCAUGCACACCAAGCGAUGCUAUGUGUACCCUUGCUCCUUAAUUUAAAACUGUUGGUUGAAUAAAGAUGCCUAAAGCCUAGAGCUGGAUAGAAGAGAGGUGGGCAGGGCUUUGGUUCCUGGGUUUGGGGUUAGAGACAAGACCAUGGCAGGUGGAGAGAGAAGACGUCAUGGGGUAGGUGAGUCAUGAAAGCAUGGCCACGAGGGCUGGCCAGUUAGUUAAGAGCAGACCAGGUAAAACAUGGCAAGUCAUAACUUGGGGUUACUGAUAAGGAAAUAGACAUAAUAGCACAGAGGGCAGAUAUCUAUCCAGCUUUAGUGCUGAUUAAGGCUUAUUAUAAAUAUAAAAGUUGUUUGUCUUUUAUCUGGGAACUAAAUGAUCCAAGACAGGGUAGAGACCCCCAAUUAAUAUUAAAUAUUUACCAUAACACACAACUAUCAACCCUUCUGUGUCUCUCAGGACUAUGUUUAAUAUUGAGCACUUAAGUAUAAAUUAGGCUUUGGGUGGCAUGGCUUUGCCUCAGUGUGAUUAGUUUAAGUGUUCUGAACACAAGGCAGGCAGGACUGAGCUGCAGGAGUGAGCAGGACUUGAUAGGUCUGUUCACUCCAUUUUGAAAUCAGGAAAAUUAUAACUUGAGGGGUCUUGGCAUGUGACCCCCAUCUCUUCAGUCCCCACCAGCACUUUGAUUUUUGAUCAUAGCAUUACCACAGACAAGUAGUGUAUUGUUCUUCAAUCAGUCACUAGGCUGCAGAUUUUCUAGUCCAAUAAAAUUGUAUAGAACCACCUCACCUGUAUGUAUAUAUUAGAUGUGUCUGCAUCCAGUAUAUGAAUGUGUAAAGACUGGUUCACACAUGUCAUGCUUUGAGUAUGAUUCAAAGGAUGGCUCAUUAGUUUGGGAACUUAGUCUCAAGCUGGUGGCACUGUUUUGGGAGGCUGUGGAACUGUUUGAAUAUGAUUCCCAGCUGAAGGAAGUGGUUUGUUGUGGUGCAGGCCUUUUGUCCUGAAGCCCGAUUCUAGUUCUGGCAAGUUCCUCUUUGGCUCCUGUCUGCCACAAACCAAAUGCAGCCCAUGAUUUGUUCACCAUGCUGGACUGUACUUCUCAAGACAUGAGUCAAAACAUAGUCUUCUGUCAGGUUUUACAUCAGCACCAUGAGAAGACUAUUGAUAGUGGCACUGGUAAGGGGAGUUGCUGUGAUAACCUAGACAUAUGACUAAUGGUGUGUUGGAAGUGGUUUGGGAGAGGAAUGUAGAAGAGUUUGUAGCUACACAGGCCAGAGAAGCCCUCAAACACCACAAACAGAGUGGAGCAGGUGAUCCUGUAGAAGAGAUUGUGGAAGGCCAGAAUGUUGAGAGAAGUGAAGGCUACGUUCAUGAGGCUCCAGGAGAGAAGAGAGAGCUUGAUCAGAAAUCCAACUGAAGGCCAUUUCCGAGAACACCCUGCUGGAGAACAUGGCUCCUCUGUGCUGGUGCACUACACUUCUGAGUGAGGCUGAAUUCACAAGGGUGGAUGAGUUUGUUGGGCUGAUGAAAUUUCAAAGCAACACAGCAUUCAGUGGAGACGUGGAUGGAGCUUAGGAAAUCUGAAAGAAACCAGUCAACAGACUCAGUUUUGUAUCAUACUGGGAAGAAAGGGAUGCCAGAAGUAGGGAGGGUUAAAGGUAAAGUGGGGUUAAAGGUCAAAUCACACUUUACACACAAAAACAUUAAAACCAGGUAUCUCAUUUGUUUAGAGGUAUGCCAGCCUCUAAACAAAACUAAACCAAAACUCUGCUCCUCGGAGAGAUUUGUGUCAAAGAAACAAUAACUGGAUCCUAUGAAAAAGUGACGUCUAGACAAAAUAAUAAGAAAAAAAACCAGCUGAGUAAACCCAAACCUUAAUGGACAGAAACUACUAAGGACGUCUAGAAAGUACAACUGAAAAUUUGGGGAAGCCUUCCUAGACGGAGACAUGGAAAUGUCUUAAUUAAAAUGACCCAUAUUCAGUGUGAGGAACAGAUGCAGACUCAAAAAGAGGGGAAAUGGUUUUGCAUUUUAGUAUAAUGGGACCAAAAGGAGUUACUAUAAGCCAUGAAUCUGUAGUGAUGAGAAUUUAAGAGUUUACUAAGACAAAAAAUUUGAAAUGGAGUUUAGCACAGGUAUUGGGGGACAGAAAAGGGUCCUUAGGAAAAAAAUGAUCUAGUGAAGAUUCUGGAAAUUUGGUUCCUUUGUGUACUGGCUGUUUUUUAUAUCAACUUGACAAAAGAGUCAUCAGAGAAGAAAGAACCUCAGCUGAGAAAAAUAGAUUCCAUGGACACGGGGCCAUCCACAGGAACACAAACAACCCAUCAGCUGCCAAACUGCUGAAGAAAAGUGACUCCCCUCCUCCAGCAGGCGUAAGUUGCCAGUGGCUAAGAGUGGAACUGCCUGAGUCCCCACCUCCAUCGAUGCUGCAAAGUGCGUGCCUCGACUUUGUGCAGGGCCAGCUUUAAGAGGACAGAGCCAUGGAUUGCGAGUGGGAGAGAUUGUGUCUGUAAGGGCAGAGGAGACACCAAUGAACUGAGUGCCACCUGCUUCCGUGUGGUAGGAGUAACAGCAAUAUGGCGAUGUAAGGACUAAAUCAACGUGUGUACACAACACCUGAGCACAGUUACGUUCUCGGCGCUGCUUAAUUAGUUGUUACUAUUUGUCCACAUUGAUCUUCAAUAUAAACCAGAAUUUUGACCUUGCUCCCUGAACUGACAUGGGUGGGCAGUAAGGUCAGCAAUGUUGUAGGAAAUGUGCUUAUAUCAGGUAUCCUUAUUACCCAACGAACAUCCUCGCUAAUCACACAGCGUUGUGACAGGUAGAGCCAGGGCCAGCCCAGGCUCUGCUCCAUGCCAGAACACAGUCUAUGGGAUCAUGAGGGCACACUGCUGGCAGCGAUCUCUUCAGGGAAGAGAGGGGAGGAUGACGAGCUCAGAGAGACAGCAGGACAGCAUGAGCAGUUAGCAUGAGAGCUUGCACAGGCAGCUGUCUGAAACACAGCAUGCAUUUCUUCACAAUGCCACUUCAUUCUGUCUUCUAUUUUGUUACGAUGAGUCUCUGGCUUUGGGAUGCAAUUCUGUUGUUUCCUUAAAUUGUUCUUGUUGUCAAAGUACUCCGGGCCCUAAGAGAAGAAGGAAGGCUCACAUGUAAUCUAAGUCUUUUACUGAGAAUCUGACCAUUGUUCUAAUAUUUACGGAUUAAGUAUAAUGGCCCAGUGUUUGGAUUUGCAUUAGAGACAUCUAAAUUCUCCCAUGUCCUUCAUAGGGCCUUAAGGAAGGUGCACAGCAGUCAUGUUAAAGCACACUUGAGGACAGUCUAGGUAAUUCUGCCUUCAGUUCAGUUUCAGUGAGAAACUUAAGAUACAUGAAGUGUAAGAAAAUCUGUGUGGGGCCACAAAAUGAGUUAUUGUCCUAAGAGUCUGCUGCUCCAAGAGGCAGCAGGUUCCCAGUUAAAAGAUGACCGAAACCAUGGUUAAAAAUAAUGUUUUAACUGACAGAUCAUAAUUAUAUAAUUUAUGAGGACUCAAUGAUACUUGCCAUAUUAUACAAUGAGAAAUGAGAAAAACAACUGAAUAAUCCUGUUAUAUAAUUAGUGUGAUUAAUUAGUCAUUUAAUUUAUGUGUAUAUGCACACACACACAUACAGAGAGACGUGGAGGCUGCACGGUUUUGUAAGAUGUGCAGGAGCUGCACGCUGUGGAUGCUGCACGCUGUGGAUGCUGCACGCUGUGGACCCCCUGGCCAGAAGCUCCUUGUUCUUACACUGGGAGCCAUGCAACUGUGCGAAGCUGGUUCCUGGUGGAAAGAGGAGCUACCAGGCCUGUUCACUGUCCAGAACUCGGCAAAGCAGAGACAUGGCUCUCUCCUAAGGCACCAGUGCAAGGAGCUUUCACUUCAUGGAUCCCAAAGUGGCCUAUGUAUGGUGGUAGGAUUUUCUCGGCAUCCUUGUCCAUGAAGGACAUGUGUACCUCCUGACAUUAAUGCUGCUUGGGAGCCUUCCCUGCUAGCCAGGAGGCCCCCAAUCUAUCUCACCUCCUACCGCCUCCUUGCCUGGUAAGUUAGGACCAAGUAGCUCCUCUCUCGCAGUCUGUGUCAUGGCUGAAACAUAACCCAGAUAUGAGGUUGGAGACAGCUGUACAAAGACCUCAUGUUCCAGGUGGCAUGAUGACAGAAGGCAGGGACAUAAGGACAAUAUGGGUUCUUUACAGAGAUGUCAAGCAGGUCUCCUAAGCAGGAACAUGGGAACAUUCUACAGGGGAAGUCUCCCUUCCCAGGAGGUUGGGUAGAAUCCCAUGGCUUUGCAUCGUUUAAACCGCAAAGCAGAUAUGUUCCUAAAUAUAUUACUGGGGAGGCAGACCUCCCCACCCACCCCCUAAAAAAAAACCAGCUUAAGUUUUACAUCUUUCUCAGUAAAGUACCUCCAAUGAUAGUUUUCUUCUGCUCUUUCCUCAUUUGCAUACUUUUAUGUACUCACAUUUGAACUUAGUAAAGGCCUCGAACACUCCAGGCCUUUACUCUACCACUGAGCCCCACUCCCAGCAGGUUAGUCAGCUGCUCCUCCUAAGUGCUGUGAUUACAGGCUUGCACCACCCUCCUGGCUUUUGGGGGGCAGCGGGGGGCUGAGGGUAGAACCCAGGGUUUUAUGCAUGCUGCACCAGACAGACUGCCACCUGAGCUGUAUCCCCAGUCUCAAGAGGAAACCUUCUUGAAAGACAGAUUUUUAUGAAUUUAUUCCAGGUGUUUCAGUAAGUUCAAACACAGAUGUUUCACAGGUGACCUUUUUAUUUUAAAAGUGUCUGUGCCAGAUCCCAAAUCUGGGAUCUAGCAGACAACUUUAUAACUUAGAAGUAUCCUGAGUAUGACGUAAGCCCCUCUCACUAACGAUGCGCUCUGAGAGUGAAAUAAUCUCGGGCUGUGGAUACGCAUGUAAAUUCUGAAUGUAUGACGUGAGUGAGUCUGCCCAGUGCUAGCAUUGACACACCUAUCUAUGUUCCGGGCAAGGAUGCAAUAAUGUCCUGUUUGUAGGAUGAAUAUCUCACCAGAGCAAACAACAUGUCAGAAAUAACUCUGAUCGCCUGGAGAGAUGGUUCUGGGGGCUUACUGUUGUUAUGGAUGACCCAGUUCAGUUCCAAGUACCCACAUCAGGCUGUUUAUAACUGCCUAUAACUGUAGCUGCAGGGAGUCUGAUGGUCUCUUCUGGCCUCUCAUGGCAACUGUACUCAUGUAGACAUAUCUUUACACAGACAUAUACAUGCAUACACACAAUUUUAAAAUAAAUCUUUUUUAAAAAAAAAUAUACAGUUAAUCUUCACAUGCUCUGUCCUUCCUUCGAGUUGACUUGAUUCCUGGGACUGCUCUGCCUACAACGGGGACAACAGUGCUGGUCUGCUCAGCAUGUUCCAGUUGAGUCAGCUAUGCUAACUCUCUGGCAGCACACAGACAGACAGUACUGCAGACCACACGCAGCCCCUUCCGGAGAAGCCUCUCUCGAGGAGCUAAUGGCACAGGGCCAUCUCUGGAUGUGCUAACAGCACAAGGUGUUUUCCUAGGCCGACUACUGUGGUGUCUUUCUGGCCUCUGCCUCAGGGGCAGGCAGCUCAGCAGUUCUUGACAAUUUUCUAGCUGCCAGGCUCCUGGAUUUGCCAGUCUGUAUCAAAGAGAUGGUGAGCCUGCCACUGCCCCCUGGUUGAUCCGUGAUGAAGUUCCUUCAGGGACUUUGCCAGGGCUACUGUAUGGGGAGCCGAACAAGACGCCACACAACAGCUACAUGGCAUGAAGAAGCCAAGGCCAGUGAUGGGAAGUGACCACUGUUCCAGGACUUUGAUUAGCUGAGGCCAGAGGAUCCCCACCCUGCCAAUGAAGAAAACCCUAAGAACUUAAUAUUCUUGGAUACUGUCUUAGUUAGGUGUCACGAGUCACGUCCCUACUCCUCAGCUGCAGGUGUUCUUGGGGGUCUAGAAUAUUUGGAAAGUAGAAAGUUACUGGGGGUGGGACUCCAGCCAUGUAGCUUUUGUGCUUCCUCAUCCACGCUGGGGUGGGGAUGUUCAGUGACUGGGCUGCUUUUGAGUCACCUGUGCUCCCAUGAGUCACCCCUCACCUCUGCAUCUAUAGAACCUCAAUGUUAUGGUUUGUAAAUGCUCUGCUCAGGGAGUGGCACUAUUAGGAGGUAUGGCCUUGUUGGAGGGGGUGUGUCACUGGGUGUGGGCUUUAAGACACUCAUCGUAGCUGCCUGGAAGCCAGUAUUCUGCUAGCAGCCAUCAGAUGAAGAUGUAGAACUCUCAGCUCCUCCUGCACCAUGCCUGCCUGGAUGCUGCUAUCUCCCCGCCUUGAUGAUAAUGGACUGAACCUCUGAACCUGUAAGCCAGCCUGAGUUAAAUGUUGUCCUUGUAAGAGUUGCCUUGGUCAUGGUGUCUGUUCACAGCAGUAAAACCCUAAGACACACAAUAAACUCAGAGUCACCAAGAAAGACUUGGGUAGGAUAAUUUCUUUACUCUGUUAGUACCUUGUUUAGGGUGAGUAGAUAUUUCUUCAUUUCUUCCCAGGAAAAGUUAUGUACCCCAGGUUCUUGCUUUAUUGUCCAGCAUGACUGGAGCUCAAAAAUCUUUCCACAUCAGCCUCAAAUUGCUAAAUAACAGAUGUGUUCCACCACACCCUGACUAUUUGAUAAUUUAAAAGAAUAUACUAAAAAAUAAUAAAAGUUGGUGUUUGCUUGAUGUGUGCCAUCUGCUUUGUAUGUGUUUAUAAUGAAGGUUGGUGCUGACUGAAUGUUUGGUGUGUGCCGUAUCCUCUGUGUAUAUUCCACAAAUGUUCACAACGGCCCUGCCGUUGCUAGGUAAGGAAGUGGAGACAGUUAGCCAGUGCCACUCAGCAUGUUAUGACAUCACGAGGUGUCACCACCACUGCCAUCAGCUACCAAUGUAAUACACUAGGGAAGAGGGAGCUGGAGCCCCUGGAACUGGAGUGAUCAAGAUUCAGUGAUCAAGAAACUUGUUCAGAAGGAAAUCAUGAAAAGAUUAAGAAAAUAAAAUCCUCAAAACCAGAAUACAACCAACAGGAGACGCUGGAGAUGCUGGAGAUGCUGGAGAUGCUGGAGAUGCUGGAGAUGCUGGAGAUGGUUUCUGAGAGAAUAAGAGAUGUGGGAAUGAAUCCGACCUGAAUUGUGUGAAUGGAAGUCUUCCUUGGAUUUGAACUCUUCUUAAUCAUUCCACUUCACUCUCUAUCUUCUCUUCAGCACCUUCAAACUCAAUUUCAUGUUUUUAAAGAGUGAGGGCAAGAACUGCCAGAGGCCAGUGAGAAGAGCCCCCAGAAAGCUGGUGUUUACUCAGGACAACUUUAGACACAAAAGAAGUCACAUUUAUCGUAAGGAUCCAGAACAGACCCUGACACCCAGUGAGUGGCCUGAGACUCCUGCAGUGGUCAUUGUCUUGUUCAGAAAGGAGACAAAAUACCACAGCAGUGCCCAGGGUCUGGGUGUCAAGGGGGUUGGCUCUGUUCCAGAAUUUGGAGAACACCAUGUCACUGAUGCGGUGGAGAACUUUGAAAACUGAAUAUUAAACCUAUAGCUUUGUCUAUGGAGAACCUUUGACUUUGUUCUGAUUUCUGAAUUCUUCUAUUGCAGAAAUAAGUUUAGGCACUGACUGCUAAGAAUGAUGACCGGACUUCCGUCCCCAGAACUCACACAACGGAAGGGGAGGCACUGAUCUUUUUAGCAUAUUAAAGAUGACCAUGGGGCUGGAGAGUCAGCAGUUAAGAGCACUGACUGCUCUUCCAGAGGUCCUGAGUUCAACUCCCAGCAAACACAUGGUGGCUCAUAACCAUCUGUAAUGGGAUCCGAUGCCCUCUCCUGGUGUGUCUGAACACAGCUAUAGUAUACUCAGAUAUAUUAAAUAAAUAAAUAAAUAAAUCUAGAAGAAGGAGGAGGAGGAGGAGGAGGAGGAGGAGGAGAAGGAGAAGAAGAAGAAGAAGAAGAAGAAGAAGAAGCAGGAGCCUCGCAUAACUGUUUUCUGAGAGGCUUCAUCCAGCAGUGGAUGAAACGGAUGCAGAGAGACCCACAGCCAAACAUCAGGCGGACGGAGCUCGGGCAUCAGAGCGGUGGGUAGAAGUGAGCAAGCCAGAGGGGUCAAGGAAACCGGGAAGACCUGCGGAGUCAACCGACUUGGGCCUGUGGGGGUGCACAGAGACUGAGACACUAACCUAGGCUCCCUACACAUUUGUAGCAGAUGUGCAGCUUGAUCUUCAUGUGGGUCCCCUAACAUUUGGAGCAGGGACUGUCUCUGACUCUGUUUGCCUGCCAUUGGAUCCCCUUCCCCUAGCUGGACAGUCUGGUCAAGCCUCAGUGGGAGAGGAUGCACGUAGGCUUACUACAACUGGAUGUCCUAGGGUGGGGAAGGGGGCUUCCCCUUCUCUGAGGUAAGUGGGGAGGAGGGGCUUAUGAGGAUGGGACUGGGAGGAGAGGAGGGUGGGGCUACGAUCAGGAUGUAAAGUGAAUAAGUUAAUUAAUUAAUGAAAAAAAAUGCUGUGUCCUGAGUGACCACAGCAUUGCUACUCCCUAGGCAAACACUGCACUGUGCAUGACUUUCCGUGGGCACUGGGGUCACUUCCUCCCCAAGCCACUCAAAUGGUUUUCUCACCCUCAAAGCGGUGGGCAGAUGUAACACUUUUCCUGUAUCCGCCCUUCAUUAGUUAAAGUUGGGGCUUUCGUCCUUCCUCACUGCUUCUCCCUCUUCUCCCUCUCUCUUGCCCUAUGGCAUCCUAAUGUGAGACUCACUUCUCCUGCGAGCCGAGUCCCGUCCCCCCAGGAAACUCCCAAGGCCCAGUCUUCUGGGGGGAUGCUCCAACACUGCACAGGAAGCUAAAAAAGAAAGGUCAGUCCCUGGCACUUACAAGCAUGGUGUUUUCUAGUUGUUCUCAAGCAGAAGAGAUGGAGGACCAGAAAGAAUAGAACAGUGCCCGUUUCAUGGGGACCGAACACACUGAGAGAACCUUACCACAGUUAAGUCUCUCUGCCCACAAGGGACCUAUGGGAUCCACCAUCACACCGGGAGAUCAAGGCACAGCAAAGACACAUAUCUGGGACUCACAACUCAGAUCCUUCUAUUCCUUGUAACUGCUCCAUUAAAGGCACAGAAAAGAAAACGGUGCCAUUUUACUGAUGGAUUCAGUGCAACAGAUGGACCAUCCACCUGACCAAACUGCAGAAUCGAAGUAUCCAUGCACGGAGAUAUCAUCUUCACAGAAAAUUAAAAAUCCCACAUUUAAAUCUCCAUAUAGUCACAGACUCUAUUAUAUGACUGCAAGCAGUUCCUUCCUGUCUGAGCCUCAGUUUCUCUAUUACAAUGGAGAGAGUUAAACUAAACAGAUUUUCCCCAAAGGAUGCCACAUGCUUUUCGGUCCUCCCAUUCAGAGCUGACAUUCUAUGAUCCUUCCCCCACCCCCACCCCCACCCCCAAACAGUUGGAGUCUUAUUUUUAACUACACAUAGAUGUCUCUUACAAAUUAUCCAGGGUCAUGGAUUAGCUGAAAAUACAAAAGCUUAAUUUCCUCUGCUUGGCUACUGUUAUAAAUGAUGAUCAAAAGAGUCAAAGAACAAACAGAGCUGGCUGCAGAGAGAACGCUGGGAUGGGGGCGGGGGUGGUGGUGGCAAUCUUACCCAGGACCCCUUGCGGUCGGAACUCUGGGGUCUGUAAUUCACUGCUGCUUUGGGCAGGCUGAAAUGAAUCAUAACAUUUUGAGCCCUCAAUGGAAGAGAGAAGAAAAGGGAACAAGAGGCCAGCGAGAGUGAGCGCCCAGUGUUUCCCCAGUUAAAUACAUGUUUUCAUCGAAGCGUUGAUGGGUUCAGAGGAAUGAAUGGCCACGAUUUAGUUAUCUUUUGGAUGGAUGAUUUUAAAUGCUUGUUGGAAGGGUCUUUGAUGAGACAGCCUCUUCAAGCCACACCACAGCACAGACUGGAAGUCUUCGGGACCGGGGGGCUCUCGCUGUCUUUCAGAGCCGGGAAGGCUUUGCGCUCUGAGAUUCCUGACGCUGGCGUUUCUGUUUCUAUGAUCCCCACUGGCACACGGCUCACUUCCACCCUUUCAGACUCUCAUCAGACAGCAUGUCAUAAGAUGGGGACGGAGGGGGAGAGAGGGAGAGACUGUAGAAUCUUAACUCAUGCCGUGCUUAUUUGGGGCUGGCUAUGGUUUGAAUGUCUGUGUCUUCUCCUCUGGAGAGAUUCCUGUUGAAACUUAAUCCCCAUUACAACAGGAUUAGAAGGUGGAGCCUUUUGACAGUGAUUAGGCCUCAGGGCUCUGCUGUCACGGAUGAGAUUAGCACCUUCUCCACCAAGGAUGGGAUUAGCACCUUAAUAAAGGGGCCUGAAAGAAGGAGUGCAGCCCUUUCGCCUUCCCCUCCCUUCUGCCAUCCGAGGACACGCACUCCAGCUAUGGAUAUGACAACAAGGAGACUCUUGGAGGCAGAGAGCAGCCCCUCUCCCAAAACACACUAGUGCCUCGAACCUACAUCCCCAGAAAUGUAAGGAACAAAUUUCUAUUUUUAAAAACAUAUCAUUAUAGUUUGUUCUGUCCGUGCAACAUGUACCCAGUUCUGUGGUAGACUGAGGAAGGGUGACAGAUCUGUUCACCUAUACUAGAGAAACUGCUAGAACUUCUACUUUCCCCAGCUAGCUUUUGCAAAAUGAGGUGGCUGGUGGUGUUGCCCAGUUGUGGUCCUGUACCCUGACAUUUUUUCAGCUUGUCUCCCAUCUAGGCACCAGGGAAACUAACAAAUUUUAGUUGUUGGUCUUCAGCGAAGUCCCGUCUUGCAAUCAUGCUCCAUCAGGCCCUGGUCCUGCCCAUUUGAGAGAGUCGUACAUCUAUCCCAAAGAUGAGUCCUAACAGGCACAAAACACACUAUACAGUGAGGGCUUUCUCUCCAAGUCAAGCACUGUGAAACAUCUGCUGCCUCUUGUCUUCCUGUAGUCUCACAGCAACCCCCAGAGCUAAGCGCUGUUGUGUGGACAUUGCAUAUGGGCCUCUCAGGGCCCAUUGUCAACAGAGAAUCAGUCCCCAAGUGGGCGGUGUCCACUUGUGAUUCCACGAGAGGCUGCCACCUCACCAGGAGACAUAGACCAGAGUUAGCGGCUUUACUGAAUAUUCCUGUUGGCUCUAGUACUUCGUGAGCACCGUUAAACUUAGUGCACUAUAGUAUUCAAUGAAGAAAGUUAGCCAUUCAGAUUUUCCAGCAUGCGGGGUGCUAGAAGUAUGCUUAAAACAUUAAAACUCGGAUUUGUGGGGCUACUGAUUUAUUGUCCCCGCAUCUCAAAGAGGAACAUGCCAGGGAUUGGAAAAUACUGAGAAACUUGGAGUGUUUUUUUUUUUCCUACCAAACUAUAGUGCUAAGCUGUAACAUUACAUGAAUAACGUAUCAUUACAGACACACACAGCCACGCAUGUACAUGCGCGUGCUUGAACACCAGUUCACUCAUACCAUGUGGAAUGAUAACAGCACUUGGGGGGUGUAUUUAGAACACAAUGUAAGCUAGUACCUGGUAAAUGAUAUCCAUGAUGCUUAACCUGGAGAAAGUCCUCCUUGGAUAGUGAGUUUUAAAUCUCAUGCUGAUGACCCUAGGACAUAACUUUGAACAUGGAAUAGACUUUAAUGUCUCUACCUAUGCAAUGAAAGAUCAAGAAACCAUAAGAAGGAAGGAAAGUCAGACACGGCAUAUCACACAAAUGAACUUUGAGUACAUUGUGUUAAUUAAAAUAAGCCAGACACUGAAGGUUAAAUGUCGCAGGACUCUGCUUGUGGGAAGUACCUAGAAUAAUCAAACUCACAGAGACAGCCGAGCAAUGGUCUUCGGGGCCUACAGGGAAGUAGGCCCCGUUGUUGACAGGGAGUUUGAAAGAUAAAAAACCUGGGAGCUGGAGAUAUGGCUCAGAAGUAGAGCAUCCGCAUGGUUGGAUAGGCAUGCAUGAGGCCCUGGCACCCAACAAAGAAAUAAGUUAGCUCUAGAGCCAAUAGCAAUGAAGGCUGUACAACCUGGUGAAUAUACCUCACGUCACUGAGCUGUACAUUUUAAAGGAGGUAGAAAUGAUGAGUUUUCUGACAACUGAAAGAAAAGAAGGGGGGGGGGCUGGUGAGAUGGCUCAGCGGUUAAGAGCACCGACUGCUCUUCCAAAGGUCCCA